UGUGCUCCAACUACUGAUGCAAAAGGGGGUUAAGUGUCCCUUUUGCAUCAGUAGUUGGAGCACAAACCUGAAUGACUGUCAUAUUAAAUAAUUGUCCAUGAAGUCUAAUCAAUAUUAUUCAUUCACU